rnacentral:rRNA from 1 species
AUGGUGGUGUGCGACCCCUUGCACCGGCAGUAUCUCCUGCUUCCCGAGCUCCCCGAUGACCUAGUCGCUUCGUGGAUUGACACACUCAUGAUUGAAGGGCCGCGCUUCAGCGGAUCCUACAGGGAGACCUUCCUAGCCCCUCCAGGCAAUGACGAGGAGGCAGCUGCUACGGAGGAGACGUCAUUCAGAGUGAUCUGGAUGGCGCUGCUCCAAACUAAGCCGAUGGCCGUUAUCUUCUCUUCCGGCACAGGGCAAUGGAGAGCCAUUCCAUCCCUGACUUGGAGCGAGUCGUUACCAGCUGGCUUCGUGCCGUCGACAUGGAUGGUUUCGUUCGUGUCGCGCCAUUACGCCAAUGAUCGAUUCUACUGGAUUUCAGGUUCGACUGAAAAAUUGCUAGUGCUUGACAUCCGGAGGGUGGAGUUCUCCAUGGCUGACCACCCACCCUGUGCCAGAGGUGUGAGCGAUGAUGUGGCCAUCGUGGAGGCCGGCCAAGGCAUGACUGUGAUGUUUGUGCCUAAGCUAACACACCUCGCUUUACUUAUUCCGUUUGGCGAAACAACGGUGGGAGUUCCACCCAAUGACAGAUGGAGGAGAAGACAAUCUCGCUGGAUUAUGGGUCCUUGCUCAUGGGUGCAUGCAGUGGGGAGGCACUUGCUCCUGUAUCGUGGCUCGUUCUUCAAGCCAGGUUACUUCACACAGGACGUCAACACGUUCGAGCUUGAGAGGGUGUGUGAUGCAUUAUCGAGACAAGCACACGGAUAUUGCAACUUCCCGCCGUCGUUAUUAUCGUCACGGACAGUGUAA